rnacentral:rRNA from 1 species
AUCAUGCUCAGGAUGAACGCUGGCGGCGUGCUUAACACAUGCAAGUCGAACGAAGCACUUUAUUACAAUUUCUUCGGAAUGACGAUUUAGUGACUGAGUGGCGGACGGGUGAGUAACGCGUGGGUAACCUGCCUUAUACAGGGGGAUAACAGUUAGAAAUGACUGCUAAUACCGCAUAAGCGCACAGGAUUGCAUGAUCUGGUGUGAAAAACUCCGGUGGUAUAAGAUGGACCCG